UACGGGGGGGGUAAGCGUUAUUCGGAUUGAAUGGGCGUAAAGGAUGCGUAGGUGAAUUACGCGAAGCGUAUUAAAAUUUUAUCAGUAAUGGUGAAAGAGGCGUAUGCUAACCGCUAGGAAAGGAGUUUAGUAGGGGUUGGGGGUAUUUUCAAAGGAGUAGUCCAAUGCAUCGAUAUUGAAAGGAACACCAUCUAGCGCAAGCACCCUUCCAGGCUAGACUGACAUUGAGGCAUGAAGGCGUGGGGAGCAAACGGG
rnacentral:rRNA from 1 species